CCUCGCUGGAUCUUUCUGGUUUUGGCAAAUGUGAAUUUGGUAGCCCACUACCACCAGCCAAUGGUUGCUACCUGGGAGAACAGGCGGGUGAAAACAGAAGCUAUAGCAAAUGGGAAUGAGGAUAAGGGGCCAUUCCCUCUUCACCCAGGCCUGGGCACUCAGUCUUGUACAGCAACUGCUGCAGCUAAAGAACUCUCCCUGCAGGAAUAACUGGGGAAAGACACCAAUAGCCCAGAUGCCCCCAAACCUUCCCCUCCCCCAUUCCAGUGUCCCUCACAGCCCCCCGAAGAAGGGACAAGAAGUGGACAGGAGCUGACAGCGAGGUACCAGGCUAAGGGCCAAGGAUGGGGAAAAACUCUUAAAGCCUCUUGAGGGAAGGGGAGCUUCAGCCUUUCUAACUGUCUUCCCCUCCUCCAAGGGGAAAUACUCCCCUCCCUCCCCCCAUGUCAUGGCUGCAGGAGGAGGAGACGCCGUCCUCCAUUUUGUCGGAAGCUGCUGUGGGAACUUGGGACCAAUUCAAAACCAAACCCAGUGGGGCUAAAGCCCCUUUCCCCCUGCUAAGCCCCAGCCUGGAUCUGUCGUUUGGCAGUGGGAACAUCCGCUGCCUCGUGCAUGUAGAGGUGAGGGGCAAAGAGAGGCAAUAGGAGCUGGAGAGAGAGAUACAGAAGACGUGAAGGGAACCCUUGGACUUGGAUCUAUGAAAGGAAGCCAACAAGUUUGCCAGAGAUCAAGGAACCAAAGAAAGGAGGAACGUAUACAGUAACAUCCACAUAGUGUGUGCUGUUCCUAAACUUUGAAGCUCCCCAGAGAACUCCUCUACUCCAAAGAGAGUGUUCAUGGAGAACACUGGAAAAAAUAGCCAAGGAGUCCCUGGACCUAUGAGGAGCCAUGUGGCCUGAGAGAUAGAAGUACCCAAAAGCAGCAAUGGAAUGGUGAGAGUUCCUGGACCAUCCAAAGAGAGGAGAAAAGAUAUCCUGGACAAUAUAAAAGUUCUAACUAUCCAAAAGUGAAGAGGAAAAGGGGGAAACAGUUUCAGAGAGCAUCAAGGCCUCAAACAUAAAAGACUGAAUCAACAAACAUUUAUUUAUUAAGUACCUCCUAGGUGCAUGAAUCAUAGCCUGCACUUGUGAUCAUGAACUUUGCAGACACUACAGGUAAAGUGGAAAUGAGAGUUGACAUUAGCAAUACUAAAUGUAAAACUUCUUGAAAUGAAAAACAACAGAUGUGAAAAACUUUAAGUAUCGAGUCAAUCUAGAGAACUCCAUGCAUCAAAUUGUACAGCCUGGUCUGAUCUUAAAAUUGCUGAUUGUGUCUAUUGUUUUCAAAGACCAAAAUAUCAUCACUAUGUUAAAGUCAGUUACAGUGUGUCCAACUGUGCUCCAACCAAUACAAGCUCAGAAUGCUCUGCCACAGGUCGGACACAAAUAGUCCCUAUGAACAUUUGGGGUGGAUUCUCUAACUUUGCACAUCUUGACUUUCUUCUUAGCUAAUUUAAUUCUGUUUUGCUCAUAGAGCAUGGCAUCUUCUCUGACGAGGACAUGCUGUGAUGGAAGGGCCUGUACCAGUGUCUCCCAUGUCCUACAAUUGAAUUUUAAAGUUCUUGAGACAUUGAGAGUGUCCUUCUAUCACUUUUUCUGACCACCCUGUGAAUGCUUGCACUGUGUAAGUUCUCCAUAAAAUAAUCUUUUUGGCAAGCGUAAAAUUGGCAUUGGAACAAUGUGGCCAUUGCUAAAAAGCUUUCCAAUGUAUCCUUAUUUCCUCCCAGACAAACAUGAUUAGAUCCAUGCAUAAAGAAUUCCUGGCAGAUGAAAGAUUAAUUAAAGGGGAAUAGAGAUAGAGCCAUAUUUCCAUAUAUCUGGUUAAAAAAAAAAGACACAACUACCACAAAAUAGGUAGAAAAUCUUAAUUAUUUCUCUGGCACAUUUCAUUUUAAACAAACCUUCUCAAAAACUACUAGAAAAAGCACCGUUGCAGCAAUUAGGUUUAGACCAACAUCUUUUUUUUUUUUUUUUUUUUUUUUUUUUUUUAAUUUAAUAGCCUUUUAUUUACAGGAUUUAUACAUGGGUAACUUUACAGCAUUAACAAUUGCC
rnacentral:lncRNA from 1 species